rnacentral:rRNA from 1 species
GACGAACGCUGGCGGCGUGCCUAAUACAUGCAAGUUGAGCGCUGAAGGUUGGUACUUGUACCAACUGGAUGAGCAGCGAACGGGUGAGUAACGCGUGGGGAAUCUGCCUUUGAGCGGGGGACAACAUUUGGAAACGAAUGCUAAUACCGCAUAAAAACUUUAAACACAAGUUUUAAGUUUGAAAGAUGCAAUUGCAUCACUCAAAGAUGAUCCCGCGUUGUAUUAGCUAGUUGGUGAGGUAAAGGCUCACCAAGGCGAUGAUACAUAGCCGACCUGAGAGGGUGAUCGGCCACAUUGGGACUGAGACACGGCCCAAACUCCUACGGGAGGCAGCAGUAGGGAAUCUUCGGCAAUGGACGAAAGUCUGACCGAGCAACGCCGCAUGAGUGAAGAAGGGUUUCGGAUCGUAAAACUCUGUUGGUAGAGAAGAACGUUGGUGAGAGUGGAAAGCUCAUCAAGUGACGGUAACUACCCAGAAAGGGACGGCUAACUACGUG